UACGGAGGGAGCUAGCGUUGUUCGGAAUUACUGGGCGUAAAGCGCACGUAGGCGGCGAUUCAAGUCAGAGGUGAAAGCCCGGGGCUCAACCCCGGAACUGCCUUUGAAACUAGAUUGCUAGAAUCUUGGAGAGGCGAGUGGAAUUCCGAGUGUAGAGGUGAAAUUCGUAGAUAUUCGGAAGAACACCAGUGGCGAAGGCGACUCGCUGGACAGGUAUUGACGCUGAGGUGCGAAAGCGUGGGGAGCAAACAGG
rnacentral:rRNA from 1 species